AUGAAACGAGCUCCAGAGACAGAAAGGAGUCUCUUGCCAUAACUCCUCUUGAUGCAAUUUCAAGUGUGUUAGAGCCUACAUCGUAUGAUUCAUUCUGCAAAAGGGAGGUAGGCAUCAACAGAGAACCUUUAAUCUUCUGAACAGAAGAGACUGUGCUGCAUUUGACUUUCCAAAUGUCAAUACAGAAAGAGGAAUGAUUGUCAACGUUCCUGUAACGACCCAUUUCAGUUUUCUACACACAAGCACGAUGAUGCCUAGAAAUCAGCUUGUAGAAACCUAUCUAGCCACCUUCGUUAA